rnacentral:lncRNA from 1 species
CGCCGUCCCCACGGUGCGCGCGCCUGCCGGGGCCGCGCGGGGAGGCGCGGCGGAGGGGCCCCUGCACCUCGUAGGUCCUUUCGCCUCCCGAACAAACUCCGUCCCAGGAAAUUGCACAGAGACGUGCGGCCGAACCUGAUGCCGCCAGAUCUCCAUCCGGAAAAAACAGGAUCUCCUCGACCUCUAGCUGAUCCCCCAGAUGGCUUGGAUAUCACGCAGCUUGAGGUACGCUGCUGUUCAGUAAUGUGAGAUUUUUAUUUAGUCUUGGCCUUGAAAAUAUCAUGUGGAUAGUGUUCACUUGAAACUAUUUUAAGAUCAGAUUCUUGGCUGCAGCAGGAACUCAUGUUGCCAUUUUCAUGGCCUCAUUUAAAGCAUCACGAGAGUUGUGUUGAAAUUCACUGCCACUGUGUGAGAAGAUAAUGGAAGGUUCAUAAAUGGGACAACUUUAGUAUUUUACAUAUGUUUUAAUAGAUUGCUAUUGACUGAUUUGUACCGAUCUUUGAUUCAUUGUUCAUAUUUUUCUUUAGCGACUGGCAUAUUGGGCCACUCUUUCUAAGCAACCUAAGGUAAAAAAAAAUAUAUACAUAUAAUAAUUCAUUUAUUUUUAUUUUUUUAAAGAUUUAUUUAUUUAUUUGAGAGAGAGAGAGGAGUAAG